AUUGAACGCUGGCGGCAGGCUUAACACAUGCAAGUCGAGCGAGCGGCGGACGGGUGAGUAAUGUCUGGGAAACUGCCUGAUGGAGGGGGAUAACUACUGGAAACGGUAGCUAAUACCGCAUACCAUCAGAUGUGCCCAGAUGGGAUUGGCUGGUAGGUUGGGUAAUGGAUCACCUAGGUGACGAUCCCUAGCUGGUCUGAGAGGAUGGCCAGCCAUACUUGAAUGUGGACACGGUCCAGACUCCUACGGGAGGCAGCAGUGGGGAAUAUUGCACAAUGGGCGCAAGCCUGAUGCAGCCAUGCCGCGGGUGUGAAGAAGGCCUUCGGGUUGUAAAGGACUUUCAGCGAGGAGGCGUUACUCGCAGAAGAAGCACCGGCUAACUCCGUGCCAGCAGCCGCGGUAAUUC
rnacentral:rRNA from 1 species